AGCCACAUUCAUAUCAUCCUGCAGCCCAAGACCAGUUAGUUAAGCUAAUUAUGGCUGAGCCUGGUCAGUACCUGGAUGGGAGACCACAUGGGAAAACUAGGUUGCUGUUU
rnacentral:rRNA from 1 species